rnacentral:rRNA from 1 species
GACGAACGCUGGCGGCGUGCUUAACACAUGCAAGUCGAACGGAAAGGCCCUGCUUUUGUGGGGUGCUCGAGUGGCGAACGGGUGAGUAACACGUGAGUAACCUGCCCUUGACUUGGGGAUAACUUCAGGAAACUGGGGCUAAUACCGGAUAGGAGCUCCUGCUGCAGGGUGGGGGGGGGAAAGUUUCGGCGGUUGGGGAUGGACUCGCGGCUUAUCAGCUUGUUGGUGGGGGAGUGGCUUACCAAGGCUUUGACGGGUAGCCGGCCUGAGAGGGUGACCGGCCACAUUGGGACUGAGAUACGGCCCAGACUCCUACGGGAGGCAGCAGUGGGGAAUAUUGCACAAUGGGCGGAAGCCUGAUGCAGCAACGCCGCGUGCGGGAUGACGGCCUUCGGGUUGUAAACCGCUUUCGCCUGUGACGAAGCGUGAGUGACGGUAAUGGGUAAAGAAGCACCGGCUAACUACGUG